ensembl:lncRNA
CCUGUUGGAAAGGGCUGGCACUGGAGGCCUUUCCUCCUUCUAGCUGCAUCAUAUCCUGGGGAGAAACCUUCAGGCUUAACCCUCAGGGGCCACCUCCUGGUAUCCACCUCCCAGUGAAGCUGUUUUGGUCAGAGCCCUUCUCUUUGCUCACCUGGCUGUGGCAGGAAAGUUCAAGGUGUCCUGGCAGCAGGAAGCUCCCUUGCUCCACCCUCUGCCCAGCUCAGCGGCUUCCGGAGCUCACCGAGGGAUUGCUGCAGCAGAUCUGACAGUGACAGCGACAGCCACCUGCUCUGUGGGGACACAGGAGCGGCACCUUCGGCAUGAAGCACUUGUCCUGUGAGCCCCGGGCAGCCCUCGCUGUGCUCUGCCUCACCGCUGCCCUCUGGGAUUCCUGCUCUGCAGCAGCUGAAGACAUCUCCAAUGUUUCAUCAACUGAAUACGAACCAUUGUGUCUUAAUGUGAACUUCUGCAGGCAGGCAGCCACGUGCUGCCCCUCGGGCAUGGAUGACUACGGGUGGAUCGCAGCGGCCGUCGGCUGGAGCCUCUGGUUCCUCACCCUCAUCCUGCUCUGCAUGGACAAGAUCAUGAAGCUCAGGCCUGACGAACCCAAAUACUUGGUGGCCUGAAGCAGAGAGAGCCAGCGAGCAGCAGCACUGGGCGGACUGACAGAACAUUUCAAACAUUUGCUAAGAAACAAAAGGGGAAGGGAAAACAUCUCCAGCCCAAAAAGGCCCGAUCCAGGCAGGGCAACUGCUGAGGCUUCACCCUGGAGCUGCCAGCCAAGGUGUGGAGCAGGCAAGUCCCUGAAAGCCACCAUGUACCUGCCACAGUACAAAACUCCCAAUUGUCCCUGAGCCCUCUCGUGCUUGCUGUGAGCACAGCAACAAGAGGAGAGGCUGAGGGACCAGUGACCAGCCUAUAGCACAUUGCCUCAUCUAUGGGUUUGACACAGAAAGUGGGCAAAUAAAGCUACUUUCUGGAGCA